rnacentral:rRNA from 1 species
AUACGGAGGGUCCGAGCGUUAUCCGGAAUCAUUGGGUUUAAAGGGUCCGUAGGCGGGAAUCUAAGUCAGUGGUGAAAUCUUGCAGCUCAACUGUAAAAUUGCCAUUGAUACUGGAUUUCUUGAAUUAGUGUGAAGUGGUUAGAAUGUGUAGUGUAGCGGUGAAAUGCAUAGAUAUUACACAGAAUACCAAUUGCGAAGGCAGAUCACUAACACUAUAUUGACGCUAAGGGACGAAAGCGUGGGGAGCGAACAGGAUUAGAUACCCUUGUAGUCC